GGUCAAGUUAUUAAGGGUGCAGGGCGGAUGCCUUGGCACUAGGAGCCGAUGAAGGACGUGAUAAGCUGCGAUAAGCUUCGGGGAGUUGCACGUAAACUUUGAUCCGAAGAUUUCCGAAUGAGGAAACUCACUUAGAGUAAUGUCUAAGUAUCAUUAAGUGAAUACAUAGCUUAAUGAGGGGAACUCAGGGAACUGAAACAUCUAAGUACCUGAAGGAAGAGAAAGAAAUUCGAUUCCGUAAGUAGCGGCGAGCGAACGCGGAUUAGCCCAAACCAAUAAAGUUUUCUUUAUUGGGGUUGCGGACAUAUCAUAACGAAGAGGUAUCGUAAUUGAAGAGGUUUGGAAAGACCCACCACAGAAGGUAAUAGUCCUGUAUGUUAAACGAGAAGACUUCAGAUAUGAUCCAGAGUACCACGGGACACGUGAAACCCUGUGGGAAGCAGGAGGGACCACCCUCCAAGGCUAAAUACUACCUAGUGACCGAUAGCGUAUAGUACCGUGAGGGAAAGGUGAAAAGAACCCCGGGAGGGGAGUGAAAUAGAACCUGAAACCCUGCACUUACAAGCUGUGGAAGCACAUUUCUUGUGUGACCGCGUACUUUUUGUAGAACGGGCCAACGAGUUACGUUAAGUAGCAAGGUUAAGCACUUAAGGUGCGGAGCCGUAGCGAAAGCGAGUUUUAACUGAGCGUUCAGUUACUUGACGUAGACCCGAAACCGGGCGACCUACCCAUGAGCAGGAUGAAGCGAAAGUAAAAUUUCGUGGAGGUCCGAACCCACGAGCGUUGAAAAGCUCGGGGAUGACUUGUGGGUAGCGGUGAAAUUCCAAUCGAGCCCGGAGAUAGCUGGUUCUCCCCGAAAUAGCUUUAGGGCUAGCCUCAAGGUGAGAGAUACGGAGGUAGAGCACUGAAUGUCCUAGGGGGUAUUGCACCUACCGAAGACUAUCAAACUCCGAAUGCCGUCAUCUUAUACUUGGGAGUCAGACUGUGGGUGAUAAGAUUCAUAGUCGAAAGGGCAACAGCCCAGAUCGUCAGCUAAGGUCCCUAAAUGUAAGUUAAGUGGUAAAGGAUGUGGGAUUGCACAGACAACCAGGAUGUUGGCUUAGAAGCAGCCACUCAUUCAAAGAGUGCGUAAUAGCUCACUGGUCGAGUGAUCCUGCGCCGAAGAUUUCCGGGGCUAAAACUUACUACCGAAGCUACGGCAUCAGUAAUGAUGGGUAGGGGAGCUUCCCAUACGGGUUGAAGCAUGACCGUAAGGACAUGUGGACAGUAUGGGAGUGAGAAUGUUGGCAUGAGUAGCGAGAUGUGGGUGAGAAUCCCACAGGCCGUAAACCCAAGGUUUCCAGGGGAAGGUU
rnacentral:rRNA from 1 species